GACGAACGCUGGCGGCGUGCUUAACACAUGCAAGUCGAACGGAAAGGCCCUGCUUUUGUGGGGUGCUCGAGUGGCGAACGGGUGAGUAACACGUGAGUAACCUGCCCUUGACUUUGGGAUAACUUCAGGAAACUGGGGCUAAUACCGGAUAGGAGCUCCUGCUGCAUGGUGGGGAUUGGAAAGUUUCGGCGGUUGGGGAUGGACUCGCGGCUUAUCAGCUUGUUGGUGGGGUAGUGGCUUACCAAGGCUUUGACGGGUAGCCGGCCUGAGAGGGUGACCGGCCACAUUGGGACUGAGAUACGGCCCAGACUCCUACGGGAGGCAGCAGUGGGGAAUAUUGCACAAUGGGCGGAAGCCUGAUGCAGCAACGCCGCGUGCGGGAUGACGGCCUUCGGGCUGUAAACCGCUUUCGCCUGUGACGAAGCGUGAGUGACGGUAAUGGGUAAAGAAGCACCGGCUAACUACGUG
rnacentral:rRNA from 1 species